rnacentral:lncRNA from 1 species
UGUUCCUACUUGGGGAUGUAUGGCCACCUGUUAUCUCCACUCAGGGUCAGCUCCCAGUCUCCUCUUUCGCUAGCUAAUGUAUUUCUAUCUUUCCUUCCCUCAGCACAUCUACCUUUCUCCCACACACCCUGUGUUUCAUGAAGACAGGGACAGAGACGUAGAUAGCCUUGACGCUAACCCGAGCCAUAGGCCCCCCCAUUGGAAAAGCUAACCGCUAACCUAUAACCGCUAAUCUGGUAUUAGCUCCCUGGUAGAAGAAGACAGGAUUAAGAUGAGAGGUGGUUUAGCAGCAAACAACCUGCUUUUCAUUGUGUGAUCGCAUCGCUCCAGGGAAGGACCGGGAACGAAGAAGCGGGAACGAAGAACCGGGAACAAAGGACCGGGAACAACGGACCGGGAACGACGGACCGGGAACGAAGAACCGAGAGGAACCACCAUCAACAUGAGAGCUGUCCAGAACUGUAUGGUCCUCCUCGUCACACUACUCUUCCUCGCUUCAUGCUACGAGAGACUCUGCUGUUUACCUCUGUGCUUCGUGUGAAGACUGACGUCCCAGCAGGCUAAACUGGUUGCAGUGAAGUCAUUCUGACGUCUUUGUGACGUCACGGUCGGGUUGAAUAAGGUGAAGCCCUACGAUGCUAUACAUGCAUGGGCUUUGAUGAUGAGGACUGCAAUCGACAGGGCUCCACAACCUGUCCAAGCCACUCUGACGCUUGUGCUGUGGUCCGAGGACAAGGAAGCGGAGUGAUGAAGUCCUGCUCCUACAAGUCUUUCUGUAGCCAGGCCAACAGUCAGGGUUACAGGUUGCCAGGGGUCAGAUUUCACUGCUGUUUCUUUAAUGACUGCAACGUGACAGGAAACACAUCCAAUCUGGGAGGAAGUCUCAGCUACCCGCUACUCUUCCUACCCCUGUUCCUCCACUGGAUACCAAUCUAACUACCUAUCCCAAUCUAACUACCUAUCCCAAUCUAACUACCUAUCCCAAUCUAACUACCUAUCCCAAUCUAACUAC